rnacentral:misc_RNA from 1 species
CUGAAGGCCCCUAACCGGACUUUUCCGUAUGGUUGCUCUCUGGCUGUGCGCCGCGAGGCUUGCACGCUCGAGUCGACCGUCCAUCGACACCUGUGCACUCUGCGGGUCACGUUUGUGGCCCUGCUUUUUCAUUUGUCUACUUAGUUUUGGAUGUCAUUGCUUUUCGUAAUUGAAAAAUA